rnacentral:rRNA from 1 species
GACGAACGCUGGCGGCGUGCUUAACACAUGCAAGUCGAGCGGUAAGGCCCUUUCGGGGGUACACGAGCGGCGAACGGGUGAGUAACACGUGGGUGACCUGCCCUCAGCUCUGGGAUAAGCCUGGGAAACCGGGUCUAAUACCGGAUAUGACUCCAUGACGCAUGUUGUGGGGUGGAAAGCCUUGUGCGGCUGAGGAUGGGCCCGCGGCCUAUCAGCUUGUUGGGUGGGGUGAUGGCCUACCAAGGCGACGACGGUAGCCGGCCUGAGAGGGCGACCGGCCACACUGGGACUGAGACACGGCCCAGACUCCUACGGGAGGCAGCAGUGGGGAAUCUUGCGCAAUGGGCGAAAGCCUGACGCAGCGACGCCGCGUGAGGGAUGACGGCCUGU